rnacentral:tRNA from 1 species
UUCAAUUUGGCAGAAAGAUGUGAUAAAUUUAGAAUUUAUUUAUGAUAUAAGAAAUAUCAAUUGAAA